GAUGAACGCUGGCGGCGUGCCUAAUACAUGCAAGUCGAACGCUUCGAUUUAUCGAAGAGUGGCGAACGGGUGAGUAAUACAUAAGUAACCUGCCCUUAACAGGGGGAUAACUACUAGAAAUGGUAGCUAAGACCGCAUAGGUGGAUUGAUCGCAUGAUCGAUUCAUUAAAAGACCUUUCAAGGUCUGGAUAAGGAUGGACUUAUGUCGCAUUAGCUAGUUGGUAAGGUAACGGCUUACCAAGGCGACGAUGCGUAGCCGGCCUGAGAGGGUGAACGGCCACAUUGGGACUGAGACACGGCCCAAACUCCUACGGGAGGCAGCAGUAGGGAAUUUUCGGCAAUGGGGGAAACCCUGACCGAGCAACGCCGCGUGAAGGAAGAAGGAAUUCGUUUCGUAAACUUCUGUUAUAAAGGAAGAAAGAUGAUAUCAGGAAAUGGAUGUCAAGUGACGGUACUUUAUGAGAAAGCCACGGCUAACUACGUGCCAGCAGCCGCGGUAAUGCGUAGGUGGCAAGCGUUAUCCGGAAUUAUUGGGCGUAAAGAGGGAGCAGGCGGUAACAAAGGUCUGUGGUGAAAGCCUGAAGCUUAACUUCAGUAAGCCAUAGAAACCAGGUAACUAGAGUGCAAGAGAGGAUCGUGGAAUUCCAUGUGUAGCGGUGAAAUGCGUAGAUAUAUGGAGGAACACCAGUGGCGAAGGCGACGAUCUGGCUUGUAACUGACGCUGAGUCCCGAAAGCGUGGGGAGCAAAUU
rnacentral:rRNA from 1 species